ACUGCAAGUGUCUGGGGAUACACAAUAAUUGCAAACAAUAUACAUUAUGUUUCUACAGAGAUGCCCAAAACUCACAGCUUAACUGAAGCCACAGGAUCACCAGUAAAACUCUCAAGGAUUUCAUCAUUCUUUUCUGCCCUGGUUCACUGAGGAUUCAAACCUUAAACACGAAAAAAAAAUAAUAACAAACGUUUCUCAUUUUUCUGCUGUAGGAAUCAUAAAAGAAAUCUGUCCUACCAAUUAGAAAAAGGAUGUUCUUUUUAACACCUCUGCUCCAUCAUUAAGCUCCUCCCUCAUCUCUCCCUCUGUCUUGCUCUUAUUCAUGUGUGUGUGUGCACUUGCAAGUGCACAUGCAUCCCCUCCCCUCCCCACCGCAGGAGCACAUGAGAGCUUGCCUCAAGGUCCCUGAGAAGACACUGCCAUCUUGAGGACUCAUGAAAGUGAUCAAAGAUGUAUUCCAACUACAGACCUGUGUUAUGUGAACUGCUAAAAGUGAAAAUAUGACACUUUAGUUAAAUUCAGAAUAUACAAGGAACUCAAACAACUCAACAGCAAAAAAAAAAGUCAAACAAUCCCAUUUAAAAAUGGGCAGAAGAUCUAAAUUGACAUUUCUCAAAAGAAGACAAAUAGCCAAUAGGUAUUUAAAACAUGCUCAACAUCACUAAUCAUCAAGGAAAUGCGAAUCAAAACCACAAUGAGAUAUCAUCCUAUCCCAGUUAGAAUCGCUAUUAUUAAAAAUAUAGAAAAUAAUAGAUGUGAUGAGGAUUCAUAGAAAAUGGAACUCUCAAACAUUGUUGGUAGGAAUGUAAAUUAGUACAGCCACUCUGGAAAACAGUAGGGAAAUUUCUCAAAAAUGUAGUAAUAGAACUACCAUACAAUCCAGCAAUCCAACUACUGAGUAUUUAUCCAAAGGAAAGAAGUGUUUUGAAGGCAUACCUGCCUCCUCAUGUUUAUUGUAGCACUAUUCUCAAUAGUAAAGAUAUUAAAUCAACAAAGUGUCUAUCUACUGGUGAAUGGAUAAAGAAAAUGUUGUAUAGUUACACAAUGGAAUACUAUUCAGGUAUAAAAAUAAAUGAAAUCGUGUCCUUUGCAGCAACAUGGAUGGAACUGGAAGUCAUUAUGUUAAAUGAAAUAAGCCAGGCACAAGAAGAUAAAUAUUGCAUGAAUUCACUCAUAGGUGGAAGCUAAAAAAAAAGAGUUGAUCUCAGGGAGACAGAGACUAGAAUGAUGGUUAUCAGAGACUGGGAAGGAAAUGGAUGUGGUUGGGGGAAUAAAAGGAGGUUGGUUAGUGGGUAGAAACAGAAGGAAUAAGUUCUAAUUUUCAAUAGCAGAGUAGAAUGACUAAAGUUAACAACAACACAUUGUACUUUCAAAAUAGCUAGAAGUGAGGACUUGAAAUAUUCUCAAUACAGAAAUGAUAAGUGCUCUUGGUAAUAGAUAUUCUAAACACCCUGCCUUGAUUAUUGUAUAUUCUAUGCACCUAACAAAAUAUCACAUGGACCACAUAAAUAUGUACAAAUAUUAUGAAUCAAUUAAAAAUAAAAACUUUUAAUAAAGCUUUUAAGCUAUAUUAAAAGUCAAAGUCAAUGUAUGUGUGAGAAAGGCAG
rnacentral:lncRNA from 10 species